GUGGCUCGGGUGGAUGGUUGCGUCGCCCUCGCUCAGGCAAAGGUCACACGUUCGAAUCGUGUCGGGUGCGCCA
rnacentral:tRNA from 1 species